UGGAUUGUGGCUCAGUGGUAGAGCGCUUGCCUCACAGGCAUGAGGCACUGGUUCAAUUCUCAGCCCUA
rnacentral:tRNA from 1 species